rnacentral:rRNA from 1 species
UGACAGUCGAGCGGAUCUUCAUUAGCUUGCUUUUGAAGAUCAGCGGCGGACGGGUGAGUAACACGUGGGCAACCUGCCUGUAAGACUGGGAUAACUUCGGGAAACCGGAGCUAAUACCGGAUAAUCCUUUCCCUCACAUGAGGGAAAGCUGAAAGACGGUUUCGGCUGUCACUUACAGAUGGGCCCGCGGCGCAUUAGCUAGUUGGUGAGGUAACGGCUCACCAAGGCAACGAUGCGUAGCCGACCUGAGAGGGUGAUCGGCCACACUGGGACUGAGACACGGCCCAGACUCCUACGGGAGGCAGCAGUAGGGAAUCUUCCGCAAUGGACGAAAGUCUGACGGAGCAACGCCGCGUGAACGAUGAAGGCUUUCGGGUCGUAAAGUUCUGUUGUUAGGGAAGAACAAGUACCGGAGUAACUGCCGGUACCUUGACGGUACCUAACCAGAAAGCCACGGCUAACUACGUGCCAGCAGCCGCGGUAAUACGUAGGUGGCAAGCGUUGUCCGGAAUUAUUGGGCGUAAAGCGCGCGCAGGCGGUUCCUUAAGUCUGAUGUGAAAGCCCCCGGCUCAACCGGGGAGGGUCAUUGGAAACUGGGGAACUUGAGUGCAGAAGAGGAGAGCGGAAUUCCACGUGUAGCGGUGAAAUGCGUAGAGAUGUGGAGGAACACCAGUGGCGAAGGCGGCUCUCUGGUCUGUAACUGACGCUGAGCGCGAAAGCGUGGGGAGCG